GUUAUUUUUAAAUGUGAUGAAUAAAAAAUGUUAUUGUGGCAACUUGUCACUAGAUAAAUGGAAGAUUCAUGCAAUCAGGGUUUUUGUUUUAUGUCAAUAUUUCUGCCUACCUUUUGUUUAUUAUUAUUCAUGUGGUAUUAUUUUCCUCUCCAGUAUUCUUUAAGGUAUUGGCUGGAGCAUGGUGUGUCAGGGUUAGGGAUCUGUGACACAGAAGCAGCCUUCUCUGCAAAGGAUCUGGAUCAGAUGAAUCAGCCUCUAGCCCUCUUCCAUUCUCUGAGUCAGUCGUGUGCUCGUGAAGAGGCUCUACACUUUGGCAGAUUCACCUUCCUUUCCUUCAACGCCAGCAUGUCAUGCUCUGGCCUCAAUUCUACAGCCACACCUCCUAUAGCUUUCCUGCGCUCAUGGGCCUGCGUUCACUUCCUGAACCUGUUUAAUUUGGGUUCUGAACCUCACACUCUGGAUCCAGACUGGGCUCCCAGCUUACCUGUAACCAGCACAGAUCUUGACCGAUUUGGCCCCAUGUCUCUAAGGUCAAUAAAAAUGCAGCCACACGAGGCCAUUGUAAUAAAACUGCUUGAAUCUGACAACUCUUAAGACAAGGUUUGUGUUCG
ensembl:lncRNA